rnacentral:misc_RNA from 1 species
AACCCUUUGUGUGUCCGACUCUGUUGCCUCCGGGGCGACCCUGCCUUCGGGCGGGGGCUCCGGGUGGACACUUCAAACUCUUGCGUAACUUUGCAGUCUGAGUAAACUUAAUUAAUAAAUUAAAACUUUUAACAACGGAUCUCUUGGUUCUGGGAUCGAUGAACAACGCAGCGAAAUGCGAUAAGUAAUGUGAAUUGCAGAAUUCAGUGAAUCAUCGAAUCUUUGAACGCACAUUGCGCCCCCUGGUAUUCCGGGGGGCAUGCCUGUUCGAGCGUCAUUUCACCACUCAAGCCUCGCUUGGUAUUGGGCAACGCGGUCCGCCGCGUGCCUCAAAUCGACCGGCUGGGUCUUCUGUCCCCUAAGCGUUGUGGAAACUAUUCGCUAAAGGGUGCUCGGGAGGCUACGCCGUAAAACAACCCCAUUUCUAAGGUUGACCUCGGAUCAGGUAGGGAUACCCGCUGAACUUAAGCAUAUCAAUAA